GCGUAAAGCGCGCGCAGGCGGUUUCUUAAGUCUGAUGUGAAAGCCCCCGCGCUCAACCGAGGGAGGGUCAUUGGAAACGGGUGAACUUGAGUGCAGAAGAGGAGAGUGGAAUUCCACGUGUAGCGGUGAAAUGCGUAGAGAUGUGGAGGAACACCAGUGGCGAAGGCGACUCUCUGGUCUGUAACUGACGCUGAGGCGCGAAAGCGUGGGGAGCGAACAGGAUUAGAUACCCUGGUAGUCCACGCCGUAAACGAUGAGUGCUAAGUGUUAGAGGGUUUCCGCCCUUUAGUGCUGCAGCAAACGCAUUAAGCACUCCGCCUGGGGAGUACGGUCGCAAGACUGAAACUCAAAGGAAUUGACGGGGGCCCGCACAAGCGGUGGAGCAUGUGGUUUAAUUCGAAGCAACGCGAAGAACCUUACCAGGUCUUGACAUCCUCUGACAACCCUAGAGAUAGGGCUUCCCCUUCGGGGGCAGAGUGACAGGUGGUGCAUGGUUGUCGUCAGCUCGUGUCGUGAGAUGUUGGGUUAAGUCCCGCAACGAGCGCAACCCUUGAUCUUAGUUGCCAGCAUUCAGUUGGGCACUCUAAGGUGACUGCCGGUGACAAACCGGAGGAAGGUGGGGAUGACGUCAAAUCAUCAUGCCCCUUAUGACCUGGGCUACACACGUGCUACAAUGGGCAGAACAAAGGGCAGCGAAGCCGCGAGGCUAAGCCAAUCCCACAAAUCUGUUCUCAGUUCGGAUCGCAGUCUGCAACUCGACUGCGUGAAGCUGGAAUCGCUAGUAAUCGCGGAUCAGCAUGCCCGGUGAAAUACGUUCCCGGGGCCUUGUACACACCGCCCGUCACACCACGAGAGUUUGUAACACCCGAAGUCGGUGAGGUAACCUUUUGGAGCCAGCCGCCGAAGGUGGGACAGAUGAUUGGG
rnacentral:rRNA from 1 species